GGAUUGUAGAAAGUCUUGGAUGUCAGGCAGAAGAGUUUAAUUUCCCUGAGAUGGAAAAACUGGGAGUAAAAAUCAAACCGCCAGCUGAGCAAAAUCCACUCUGAGUUGCAGAAAGGGAAUGGGUUCUGGUGGAUAUUCCCUCUCUGCCUCUUAAUUCUAAGAUUCUUUCCAGCAAGGGCAAGCUUUCAGAGGAAUCUGGGAAACUUGUGUCUUUCAUCUCACCCAACCCUCUAAUACAAAUCUUUUCAAUCUCUGAUAUAAAUUUGCCUCUUCCUUUUGAAAUCAGCCAGAAAGUUCCCAGGGAACCUGAAAGCCACUUUACAAUUUAAAGCAAUCCUUACUUCUAACGCUAGAAGCCCAUCUGGGUCUGUCUGUAACCCUAAAUUCUGAACAUAUAUUGGUCUGGAAAUUCCCCGUAACUCAGGAAGCAUUUUACCUACCCCGAGUAUGAAUGUUUUGCUCCCAAUUCUCCUGGUGAAAAGAGGUGUGAACUGUGAUCCUAUAGAAAACCAUUGUGAAGAUAGGAGGGCACAGGCGGUAUGGUAUGUACCUAAGAAGCUUGGUGUCAAAAUGAUUAAAGCAUGAAGAGAAAAACAGAACCAAAGGAGAGAGAAGGAAAUCAUUUACCUUGUAUUUGGAGCAAGGACACUUGCAAUUCCAUUUCAGCUGACUUUCUCCUAUGUAGCUGAGAUGAGCCUUAUUCUCCAUGAAAUAGCCUCAUCUUUACCAUACUGCUUUCCUGGGUGACCAGGUGAAUGGCAGCAAGGAUGAAAGGCACCUCAAUACUACAUGGUCCAGCCUCCGCAUAUAUUUUGAAUACUUCUAGUGAUGGAUGUGGAGCUUGUUACAUUCUAAGACAAUCUAUUUCAUAUUUGCGUGACUUCUUCCAUAUUCUGAGCUAGUGUGUGUCUCUAAAGCUCCUAAAUCAUCAGUUUUAGAAUCUUAGAGCCUCUCAGGACAAGUCUUAAUUCUUUUUUUCACACAAUAGCUCUUCAGGUAUUUCAAGAUGGCUCUACCAUCACUUAUGAAUUCUUCAACUCUUCCUACUAAGCCUGGAUUUCAAGUCUCCUCACCAUCUUGGUUGGUUGCUCUCUUUAUUACAUUCCUUUAAAAGUGAGCACGUUACCUAGAUGAGGUCUAACAUAGAAUGAAGUGGAGCUCUCUCCUUGUUCCAGAUGCUGUAUUUCUAUUAAUCCAGCCUAAAAUUGUAUUUAAUUCAUCUGAAGCCCCACUUGCUGAAAAAAACCAACCUGACACCCCGCCACCCUUCUUUGUUCUGUACUUGAUUUUCACGUUUAUGCUCCUUUUCUAGUUCUCUUGUAACACAUGCACACGAUUCAAUUCUUUUCUGCAUGACCUUGAUCCUCAUUCUUUGCUCUGUCAGACUGAUCUCUCCCUGUGCACAUAUGUUACAUUUAUUUUCUCUCAGCUUUUAUCACCUUAUCUCUUCCCACUUCAUCUCCUGGUUUCUACCUAUUUCAACAUCAGAGAAUCCAAAUCACUUUUAACCAUCUUGCUUCUUUCUGAAUCUGGUGAGGUUGGAUGUGUCUGUCCCGGUUAACAUUUACAAUGCAUAUGCUGACAGUUUGAGGCUAGCUUCCAGGAGAGUAAUCUGAUUUGGGAAUGCUUUUCCUAAGCAGAUCUCAACAGAUUUCACUUUACUGGAGUUCCAGAGGAAAAAGCAUAACCCUAGACUUGGUCAUACAGGGGACAUUCUGAAGACAAAAGAUGGUGAAUUAAUGAAUGAUGACUUUUCAUUUUAUGGACAGUCAAACUGACAACCAGCUUGGGUGAUGAGAAGCACAAUGGAAACAGUCUGGGUUUAAAACCUAGUUCUGUAGGUUCCAGCCUGGGUUGUGCCAGUUACUUAACUUCUUUGUCUCAAUUUCAUCCUCUGUAAAAUAAUAGCAACAAUUGUACCCACUUCUCAUAGGCCUGCAGUAAGGAGUUAGUUCAUAUGAAGAGCUUAGAAGUGCCUAUCUCACACAUAGUAAAGGACAAAUAUUAUUAUUCCUGGAAAAUAAAGGUAGAACAGAAAAGAGAUUAUUCCUCCUAGGUACUUAGGUUUUCUGCGUCCAUCUUUACAAACCUUAAUUCACUGAGCCUUAGUAUUGAGGUUUUGGCUUUAUAAGGAAGCAGACACUCAGAAAGAAGCUCAAGAGUCAUUUGUGAAUGAAUGCCCUUCAAUCUGGGGCUGGGGAGAAGCAGGGUAGAAUUGUUAUUUAAGAGAGAGUAAAGGCUAAAAGAAUUAUAAUCUAUCAGGCAGAAGAUCUGGCAUGCCCUCUUCCUUUUUUCCCGGUUGAAACAAACCAACCAACCUACUUUCAAAAAUGAGUAAAUGUAGAUCUCAUCAAGGGCUGUGGAGCUACAGAUCUUCCAAAGAAUUAAAUGGUUUAUAAUGGUCAACUUUUUGUGUUUUUAAAAUCUCUGGAUUAAAAAAAAAAUGAACACACGACUUCCUGCCCACCCCUCCCCCCAACCCCCCUUUUUAGUCUUGGUCAUAUAGCAGUUUAGCACAGAAUUCUACAAAAAGUCAAAGGUUCCACAGAAAGUUACGUUUUGUCAUGUUGUAUGGUCUACAGUGUAGACUACACUAACAGAAGAAAUUAGUUUAGUUUGUGUCAAAUCAUGUUAAAAUACAACAUUAAAUAAAUGCAAAGAGCCCAGAACAAAGAAAGUGAUUAAGCUGGUUUAACUGCAUUCAACCCACUAUGCUAAAUCCCCGUAGGGGGCUCUAGAUAAACAACAAAUUUAGUUUCUUGGCCUAAAUCCUUUUCUUCAAAGAAGAAAUUUUUCUUGUGAGUAUCUCUGAUAAAUUUGUUUUCAUCUUCUUCAUUUCUUAGUCUCUAGGGAAGCUAGGGUGAAAAGAAUCUAUCUGAUUGGGCUGCAUUUUUGGAAGAGAUGUACUGUGAAGAAUGGAAUAGAAAGCGAUGGGUUACACAGCUAAAGAGGCGUUGGAGGAACUGAGGCAUGGGUGAAGUGUGAUUGUUCAGCCCCAGAAAAAGGCCAGCUAGUGACACCCGGAAUAGGAUUUUAUCAGGCAGUGAAUCAAAUAAGGCUGCGAGGGAGAUAAUAAGGUGUAAUUAUAGCAGUGCUGUUAGUGCCUGUUCAUGGGGUCUGGCAGCAAUUUGGUUGAACACCCCUCAUUUUGAGAAAUUUGUAAUUUGGCAGUAAGAAUUCUUGCCUUAAA
ensembl:lncRNA